GACGAAGGUGGCGAGCGUUACUCGGAAUUACUAGGCGUAAAGCGUGGGCAGGCGGUUCAGUAAGUCUGUUGUGGAAGCUCCCGGCUCAACCGGGAGAGGCCAAUGGAAACUGCUGAGCUUGAAUUGAGGAGGGGUCACUGGAAUUCCCGGUGUAGCGGUGAAAUGCGUAGAUAUCGGGAGGAACAUCCAUGGCGAAAGCAGGUGACUGGACUCAUAUUGACGCUCAUCCACGAAAGCUGGGGGAUCAAACAGG
rnacentral:rRNA from 1 species